rnacentral:rRNA from 1 species
GACGUAGGGCGCGAGCGUUGUCCGGAUUUAUUGGGCGUAAAGAGCUCGUAGGCGGCUUGUCGCGUCGACUGUGAAAUCCCGCGGCUCAACUGCGGGUCUGCAGUCGAUACGGGCAGGCUAGAGUUCGGUAGGGGAGAUCGGAAUUCCUGGUGUAGCGGUGAAAUGCGCAGAUAUCAGGAGGAACACCGGUGGCGAAGGCGGAUCUCUGGGCCGAUACUGACGCUGAGGAGCGAAAGCGUGGGUAGCAAACAGG